rnacentral:rRNA from 1 species
AGUGAACGCUGGCGGUAGGCCUAACACAUGCAAGUCGAACGGCAGCACAGUAAGAGCUUGCUCUUCCGGGUGGCGAGUCGCGGACGGGUGAGGUAUACAUCCGAAUCUACUUUUUCGUGGGGCUUCACGUAGGUAAACCUACGCUAAUACCGCAUACCACCUACGGGUGAAAGCAGUGGAUCUUUUGACCUUGCGCGAUUGAAUGAGCCGAUGUCGGAUUAGCUAGUUGGCGGGGUAAAGGCCCACCCAGGCGACGAUCCGUAGCUGGUCUGAGAGGAUGAUAGGCCACACGGGAGCUGAAACACGGUCCAGACUACUACGGGAGGCAGCAGUGGGGAAUAUGAGGCAGAGGGCGCAAGCCUGAUACAGCCAUACCGCGUGGGUGAAGAAGGCGUUCGGGUUGUAAAGCCCUUUUGUGGGGAAAGAAAAGCAGCAGGUUAAGACGCCGCUGGAGUGACGGUAACGAAAGAAUAAGCACCGGCUAACUUCGUG